AUUGAACGCUGGCGGCAGGCUUAACACAUGCAAGUCGCGCGAGCGGCGGACGGGUGAGUAAUGUCUGGGAAACUGCCUGAUGGAGGGGGAUAACUACUGGAAACGGUAUCUAAUACCGCAUACCAUCAGAUGUGCCCAUAUGGGAUUAGCUAGUAGGUGGGGUAAUGGCUCACCUCUGCGACGAUCCAUAGCUGUUCUAAUAGGAUGACCGGCCCCACGGGAACUGAGACACGGUCCAGACUCCGAGGGGAGGCACCAGUGGGGAUUAUCGCACAAGGGGCGCAAGCCUGAGGCAGCCAGGCCGCGUGUGUGAAGAAGGCCUUCGGGUUGUAAAGCACUUUAAGCGAGGAGGCGGUACUCGCAGAAGAAGCACCGGCUAACUCCGUGCCAGCAGCCGCGGUAAUAC
rnacentral:rRNA from 1 species